AGUCGCCGGCCAUGGUGCCGGCCGGCGGCGGCGGCGUCGGCGGUGACGGCGGCGGCGGCAGCGGCGCCAGUCACAGACUACAGAGUACUGUUAAACCACCACGAGGACUGCCAAAUUGAUUAAGCUGUGCAUAUGAUUACUGAUGGAGUAGUUGAGUAUUCUCUUUAGCUGGUUAGCUAGCUGUACUAAUCUCUUGAGACAAAGCUUCUUUUACGCCAACAAAUCUUUAGUGAUGAAGCUAAGGAUGCCCUCAUGAGCAUACGUGGCCAAUACUGAACCAAGCUUCUUGAUUUGGAAUUUAAUGCUUACUUUUAGUACAAGCUAUGGUACAAAAGUACAGGUAAUUUUAGAGUUCAUCAUGCAUUAUUUGCUAUACCUAAACUCAUGUAUUGAAAAAUACAAUGAGAAGUGAAGAGCAGAAUCCGAUGGUAGACACAAGAUCUAAUGCAAUAUUUGCUCGUUAGAACUGGUCUUUCCAAAGAUAUAUAUAUGGUUACUUGCAUAUCCAUGCAUGCAUCCUGAUCGUUCGGAAUCAUUACACUAGCUGAGCAUAUGGGUUUCACGUAUAAGCAUGGAUCAUAAGAAUUAGCCAGUAUUGUGCAUGUGGGUUUGGUGUUAAUUUUAUGCCACUCAUCAUUGCUGCAUUCUUGUCCCACUUGUGCACUUAAAAAGUGCAUAAAAAAUAAUCGUAA